AGUGAACGCUGGCGGUAGGCCUAACACAUGCAAGUCGAACGGCAGCACAGAGGAGCUUGCUCCUUGGGUGGCGAGUGGCGGACGGGUGAGGAAUACAUCGGAAUCUACUCUGUCGUGGGGGAUAACGUAGGGAAACUUACGCUAAUACCGCAUACGACCUACGGGUGAAAGCAGGGGACCUUCGGGCCUUGCGCGAUUGAAUGAGCCGAUGUCGGAUUAGCUAGUUGGCGGGGUAAAGGCCCACCAAGGCGACGAUCCGUAGCUGGUCUGAGAGGAUGAUCAGCCACACUGGAACUGAGACACGGUCCAGACUCCUACGGGAGGCAGCAGUGGGGAAUAUUGGACAAUGGGCGCAAGCCUGAUCCAGCCAUACCGCGUGGGUGAAGAAGGCCUUCGGGUUGUAAAGCCCUUUUGUUGGGAAAGAAAUCCAGCCGGUUAAUACCUGGUUGGGAUGACGGUACCCAAAGAAUAAGCACCGGCUAACUUCGUGCCAGCAGCCGCAGUAA
rnacentral:rRNA from 1 species